CACCUGACUUCAUUUUAUAAACGGGAAGUCAUGACACUUGAAAAAAUGGAGGAACAUAAAGCUUCAGAAUCUUGUGAGGUCUCGCUCUUUCCUUUGUCACUCAAGUGUACGGCAUCUGCCGUUCUUAGGCAAGAGUCCACCGCCUGCCGUCAGGCCUGUCCCUUGAGUAGGUGAUUCCGAGGCUGGAUCAAAGGGGGUACUACGAGCUCUUUUCCCCACGCAUCUAACCAGCUCGCAUGGUUCACCGGUUCCACCGACUAGAACAUAUUCUCAGUCGAUACAGAGCCAAGCCACAUACUAGCGGCAGAGUUUGGAGGAGCUUUUGCAGUGUGAGCGUUCACAGGUAUCUUCAGUACACAAGACCUGGAUUAGGCAUGCAAAGGAAGUGCAGUUGUUCUUCCAAAACUUUGUUGGAGGCUUCGUACUCUUCAAUGCGAAUGCUUAUAGUUUUGAUACUUGCUGAUUUAUUGAUAUGUCCUUGAUAUCAACUCUUGCUAAAUGUAAAAUAUUAUCAAAUUCUAUGCAAUUUUAAGAAUUUUAAUUUAAAGAUUAUUUCAGUGGUCUGCCA